rnacentral:tRNA from 1 species
UGUGGUGUAGGUCUCAGUAGGUAGAGCCGUACUGACGGGUAGCGCGCGCUGGUUCGAUUCCAGCCACCACAC